rnacentral:rRNA from 1 species
UACGUAGGGUGCGAGCGUUGUCCGGAAUUACUGGGCGUAAAGAGCUCGUAGGUGGUUUGUCGCGUUUGUCCGUGAAAAUUCCCCUGGCUUAACUGGGGGGCGUGCGGGCGAUACGGGGCAGACUGGAGUACUGCAGGGGAGACUGGAAUUCCUGGUGUAGCGGUGGAAUGCGCAGAUAUCAGGAGGAACACCGGUGGCGAAGGGCGGGGUCUCUGGGGCAGUAACUACGUGAGGAGCGAAAAGCGUGGGGGAGCGAACAGG